rnacentral:lncRNA from 1 species
CUACGUGCAAUUACAUGUGUGAGAGACUUUUUAAAUUAGACGCACUACACGCUUCUCACGGAUUUUAUAACGUCAGAUUCUCUUUUAGUUGCUGUUUUAAAUUUGGGCUUCCAUUUGGUUGAGCAUCCUUCUCUCCAAAAGGUAACAUUGUUUCUAAUGCCUAAUCAAAUUUUGAUUUCUUUUCUAAUGCCUAAUCAAAUUUUGAUUUCUUGGUCUCUCACAUCUUGAACCAGAUUACUCUGGGUUUGGCAGGUAUGAAUGAUUCUAGCCUUUUUUUAGAGGAACUAUGCUUUCCAUAUCAAACAGAAUAUUCUGUUAUUAGAAGCAAUUACAUAGAGUUAGGCCAACUAAAAUGGCUGGACAGAAAAAAUGGUCCUAAUUGUUCACUCUCUAAUGAUGUUGGCAAGUAACGUUGAUUGUUCUAAAC